UUACUCUUCUUUGUAAGAAGUCGCGUAUGUCCAUGGGCUAGCAGCAGAGAGAUACAUCCAAACUCCGAAAUCUCUUCCCCAAAUUUCAAUCAAAUCGGAGAAGCUUAAAACCAAAUCUCUUUCUUUUAGCCUGUCAAAGAUUCAUUCCUCCAAAGUGUUGAUUCAACUUCUUAUAGUUUUAUUUCAAAGCUCAUACUGACCUUCCCCAAAUUCAAAUCGAAACCGGAGAAGCCGUCCAAACGAAUCGGAGACUCAACUUUUUAUAUAUUUAUCCAGUAAGUUUUGUUAUCUAAUUUGGGUUUUUUCCUUUAAUCAUUCAUUUUUCUUCAAUUUUACAUCUUCUUAUAACCAACAGUAAAUUCUUCAAUUUUAGGUUUAAGGUGUCCGUCUUAUUGCUUGCUCUAUUGGGUUCCUUUCUUAAAUAGAUUAAGUUCAUGUAAUCAGCAUCAAUUAGUAUAGUUGAAUUGAUUGAUACUCUGUAAUUUUUCUCUAAAUCUCUAUGUGUGUGUCUGCUUUCUCUCCUUUCCAGGUACAGUUUUAGCAUUCCGUUCCCCGAGCAGAAAGCCAAGUAUUAUAAAGAGCUGGACACUGUUGCUGAUGUUGUCAAGAGAGCUUUUCGUCCAUCAGCUGAUGUAUCUCCACUCAUUGUAAAUAAUUAGCUAAUUACUCCGUCGCUUCCGUUUAUAUGACUACAUUUCAUGAGUAGACUCAACUUUAACAUGUUAAUUUGACUUAUAUGUUAGAUUACUGUUAGUGAAAGGGUGUUUGACACGAAGUUUAAAAUUUAUAUUUUGACUUAUUCACUACUAUGUUGAUGAAUGUUGAAGUGAAGAUAAUUCUAAAAAGUUACAAAAGCAUAAAUAAGAUCACAGUAUAUAGCUCAUACUCCUUUGACAAGCAUCAUAACAUUGGCCACCAAUAGCUGUGAGUAUGCAACAUCCACCUAGACAGCAGUUGAAUACCUUAGCAUUAAAAGAUUGUAGUUGGAAUAUUUCACUUGAUUGUUGAAUCUCUUAUUAAUUCUGUAGAUGUGAGUAUGCGCUUUCCACCUAGGAACUAGUUGAAUACUUUUAAGUAUUGAGAGAUUAUGGUUUCCAACUGUUUGAUUUGUUCAGUCAAUGCACACUUUGAACAUUUUUUUUUUGAUUGUUAAUGCACACUUUGAACAUUUUUGUUCGAACUACUGAGUUGCAUACUCUCAGAAAGUGACAUGGAACUGCUGGCACAGUUUGAACAUUUUUGUUUGCUUGUUAUCAUCUCUUCAAGACCUGCUGCUGUUUUUGUUCUGAUCCAGAAGGUUUCAAAGACCCUUUUUCAGGUUCACUAAUUGUUAUUCCCUUCUCUUGCUGCACAUGUGUUGUGUUGUUGCUUCAGGGAUCUUUGCCAGUGAAUCGAAAAAGGAUUGUUCAAUGCUUUCUUCACUCUAUAUUAGGAGGUGAAUUUUGUAACAAGUUGUUUCUUCAGAACUGAAGAAUGAAUUGUCUUCAUGAUCUGCUAUAUAUGAUCCUAUUAUCUUAUUUUUAAUUCUCAUAGAGAUAGUCAGAACUUCUACUCGAAUUACUAUGUCUAAACCUUUGACAAGAGGUAUGCGUUGGACUACAUCAUGUAUGUCUUACAACAACAACAACUACCCAGUAUACUCCCACCAGGUGGGGUCUGGGGAGGGUAAUAUGU
rnacentral:lncRNA from 1 species